rnacentral:rRNA from 1 species
UACAGAGGUGCCAAGCGUUAGGCGGAAUCACUGGGCUUAAAGCGCGUGUAGGUGGACGGGUAAGUAUCUUGUGAAAUCCCACGGCUCAACCGUGGAACGGCUGGGUAUACUGCCUGUCUUGAGCCAACUAGGGGCGAGCGGAACAGACGGUGGAGCGGUGAAAUGCGUAGAUAUCAUUUGGAACGCCAAUGGUGAAAACAACUCGCUGGGGGUGUGCUGACGCUGAGACACGAAAGCCAGGGGAGCGAACGGG